rnacentral:tRNA from 1 species
GGCAAGAUGGCCGAGCGGUCUAUGGCGUGUGACUCAAGUUCUCAUCCUCGUAAGAGGGCGUGGGUUCAAAUCCCACUCUUGUCA